AUACACCUAACUCUCCACACACUUCAUUUUUUUUAUUUCUACACCACUAUAUUCCAUAUUCAGUACUACAUCUUGCAGAUUCCUCAUUAAGAAAUCCUCUCUCUCUAAUCUUCUAAAUUACCAUUUUCUUUCCUCCUACUCCUCACGGGUCCUUCAAAGAAAUUAUCAAGUUUGUUUCAAGUUCCAAAUCAAGAAUCAAGGUGUGUAAAUUUUGUUUAUUUCCUCCAUUUAAUUUUUCGAGGAUUACAUUCUAACACCUAGCAUCAUUUAUGCAGAAGCCACAAAUCCUCAUCUGCCUCUUCAAGGUUAUUUCCAGCAUAAACAACUUCUUUUAGAUUAUUAUUGCUUCAAUUACAUCAUCUUAUCAAGCAUCAGAGGACCACCAACAAACAAACACACACUCAUAAUCAUUAUUUUCACCUAACUAUUACAAUUACAAGGAUUUCAAGAUCUGAUAAAAAGAAAUGAUGAAAGAACAGAAUUUCUAAACAAAAACCCUAACUUUCUAUAUGUGAAUCUGGACUGAAAUUGAGCCUUCUUGUGUCUUUAUUGUGUGUGACCGGGGACGGAGGGAGGAGUGAGAGCAGCCGACGGCUGCUCAGGGCCGGCGACGGCGACGGCUCGGCGGCAAGCCGCCGCCUUUUCUUUUUUCUGUCAGACAUUGGGAGGAGAGGAGAAAGAUUAAUUAAGUUUUAGAUUUAGAAAAGAGAGAAAAGGGGAAUAAGUAGGAAAGGGGAAAGGACUUAUCUUCUCCGGCAGAGACGGCGGCGACGCGGCGGAAGCAGCGGCACGAGCGGCGGCCCUUCGGGAUGCUGUUGCUCGACCGGCCGAGGGGGAGAAAGAAGAGCAGGCAGCGGUGCUGUUGAGGUCGUCGCGGCGGCACUGUGGUCGCCGGGGUGACUGCCCACCGCGAGCAGGAAGAGAGAGAGAGAUACCGAGAGGGGAUGGGCCGUGAGGAGGCGCGGCUGCCGUCGAUUCACCGGGACAGGAGCAGGACGACGGCGAUAUGCCGGACCUUCGCCGAUCUCGGGCGGCGGCGGCAGAAACGAGGAGAGGGAGAGAGAUGAGCUGUGAGUGUGUGUGUGCGUUUCUUGAAGUGAGAGGGAGAGACGUGAGAGAGGCGAGAGAGAUGAGUGUUGUGUGUGCUGAGUGUGUGUGUUUGUGUAUAUAUGUUAGUAUUAGGUUUUUUUUAAAUUUGGGCUUAAGCCCUAUAAUGAGGAUGGGCCGAAAUUUUUUUAAAAAAAACGAGUGGGCCGAUUUUAUUUUAUUUCUGUUGGGCCUAUUUUGCCUUUAAAUCUGAUGGGUUUUUAUUUAAUAGGUUUAGGCCCAAUUUUAAUUAAGUUUUGAGCUGUUAUUUAAAUAUAGGCCUACGAAUUUUGGCCUUAAUUCUUUAAAAAAAAAUGUUUCAAUUUUCAUUAAAUUAUUUAGUGGAUUUAAAUCUUUUAAUUUGAUUUUUUUUAAUAUUGAAGGAUGGGACUAUUUAUUUUAAAUAAAGUCCGUUCUUGUAUUUAAAUUAUUGAUGGACUUUAAAGCAAAUAUUUUGGGAUUAAGCCCCAUUUAUUACAUGAUAAAAUUAUUUUCAAAGCUUACGAGUAUGGAUUUUUUUUUAAUGGUUAAAAUGUUUUAUUUCAUCUCAAUGGAUUUUAAAAUGUUUUAUUAUUUAUAAAUGAAUAAUGGUUUUUAUUUAUUUACAUAAUGAAUGUAGAAUAUUUAAAAUUUCUUUUAUUUAUUUAUAAAUUAUUAUAAUGGAAUUAUGUCCUAUUAGAUGUUCAUGUUAAAAAAAAAAUGUGGAAUUGUGUUAUAGAAUGAUUAAGUAUAUGAUUUACUUUAUCAAAUGAGCUUGGGAUUUAAUUGAGAUAUUAAAUUACUAAGCAUGUGUUUAUAAAUGAUUUAUUUAUUUAAGUGAUGAAAAUGUGCGAAGUAUGAGAAAGCAUGAUUUAUAAUGAUUAAAUUUUCAGGGUAAUAAUAUAUAGCUUGUUCUUAAUUAAUGGAGUACUUGACUAAAUGACGGGUGUAAAGGGAGGUUAUGGAUUAUGUACAUGUUGAUGUUCGAACAAAUGGGUUCGAACCUAUAUGAUAGUUACAUGAUAAGUGGUUACAUUUUAUUGAUUGAAUGAAACGAGAUUAAUAUGGAUGCUAGAACCCUAAAACAUUAAAAGAUACCUUAGGCACGUAGAAUUAGACUUUGUCUUAUGACAAUUUCUUCACGAACUUAUCGACUCUUCAUCAAUGAAGGUCCGGGCGACAGAAAGUGAAGCAGAAGAAGAAACGACUCCACGCCAGCUUUAAGAACAAUUGAGGU
rnacentral:lncRNA from 1 species